CCCAACGAAGCAACCGCACCUGUCGCGAAAAGCAUCCAACCUAUUCGAAACAAACACUAACACCUUAAAGCACCAUUCUAACAAAGCUAUGGGUAGAAAAAUCACGAGCCACCGCAUGUUUAAUAUCGUCAAUCGCAUAAGGCCACCAUCCCUCUUGUCUAUCAUCAUUGGCCAUUAUGUCCGCGGGGUGAUUUCCUUCACGAAAGAUGUGAGUAACAAUCAAAGAAAAACCAUGAAGGCGACGCAGAACCUGCUUCCAGGAAGCUAAGAAACGCCAGGGAACAUCCGUGGAGCGAUUCUCCAACAACCGCACGACAUACAUCGAAUCGGACUCAACCCAAAGAUGAAGCCAGCC
rnacentral:lncRNA from 1 species